ACGGAUGUGUUGGAACUGGUAGACAAGCCGAUUUUAGGUAUUGGUGAUUGAGAUAUCGUGUAGGUUCGAAUCCUAUCGUCUGUA
rnacentral:tRNA from 1 species